rnacentral:rRNA from 1 species
AAUCUUCCACAAUGGGUGAAAGCCUGAUGGAGUAACGCCGCGUGAGUGAAGAAGGCAUUCGGAUCGUAAUACUCUGUUGUAAGGGAAGAACAAGUACAGUAGCAACUGGCUGUACCUUGACGGUACCUUAUUAGACAGUCACGGCUAACUACGUGCCAGCAGCCGCGGUAAUACGUAGGUGGCAAGCGUUGUCCGGAAUUAUUGGGCGUAAAGCGCGCGCAGGCGGUCCUUUAAGUCUGAUGUGAAAGCCCACGGCUCAACCGUGGAGGGUCAUUGGAAACUGGGGGACUUGAGUGCAGAAGAGGAAAGUGGAAUUCCAAGUGUAGCGGUGAAAUGCGUAGAGAUUUGGAGGAACACCAGUGGCGAAGGCGACUUUCUGGUCUGUAACUGACGCUGAGGCGCGAAAGCGUGGGGAGCAAACAGG